GGAUUCUUUACAGAAAAGUCAACACAUUCACUUGAGAUAGAAAACCACUAAUGAAAAUGAUACUGCUUUGGGAUGGGAAGAUUAACCAAAUAAGGGACGGUGUGAAUUGGGAACAGAGCAAGAUUGAACUGAAAAAAUCCUGUUUGGCCAGCACUUUGCACUGAUAUGAAGUAUGUUUUAGAGAUAAAGCAGAACUGAGGAAAAAUUAAGCAAACUGCAAAGAUAAACCUAUCUACUAAAACAUGAAAAUCACUCAUACAGUUAUUCAAACUCAAUGUGUGGUUGUGGUGUGUUACCAUCUGGUAAACCAGUAUUUGUCAUAAGAGGUCCACAGGCUGAGAACUGUAAAUAAGAGAAAAUAGAUUACUAUGAUUUCCACCUGUUAAAAACUGACUUCAAAAUGGGUAAGUACAACAGUUAGAUAAGGUGACUAAAGAGAGAAAAAGUCUCUGGAAAGAUCAAUAGACUUUAAGGCUCUGUCCUCAAAUACUGAUAGAGAUAUAUUGGCUAUGAGAAUUUGGAAACUGUGUGACUUAACCUUUGAAACGUAGUUUUCUCAAGCAUAACUUAUAAAAACAAACCCUUAAAUGAUUCUUCUUAGGAUAUAGUGAAAUAUUUGGCCUAAACACCCGUUUAUUCACGAUUUUUUUUUUUAAAUUCUGGACAACCCUUCACAAUAAAUUUUGCUCUAACAUA